UGGGGAAUCUUGGACAAUGGGCGCAAGCCUGAUCCAGCCAUGCCGCGUGAGUGACGAAGGCCUUAGGGUUGUAAAGCUCUUUUGGCGGGGACGAUAAUGACGGUACCCGCAGAAUAAGCCCCGGCUAACUUCGUGCCAGCAGCCGCGGUAAUACGAAGGGGGCUAGCGUUGUUCGGAAUUACUGGGCGUAAAGCGCACGUAGGCGGAUUUGUCAGUCAGGGGUGAAAUCCCGAGGCUCAACCUCGGAACUGCCUCCGAUACAGCAAGUCUCGAGUCCGGAAGAGGUGAGUGGAAUUCCUAGUGUAGAGGUGAAAUUCGUAGAUAUUAGGAAGAACACCAGUGGCGAAGGCGGCUCACUGGUCCGGUACUGACGCUGAGGUGCGAAAGCGUGGGGAGCAAACAGGAUUAGAUACCCUUGUAGUCCCUGAGCGGGCUGGCAAGGCGCAU
rnacentral:rRNA from 1 species